UAUGUAGUGACGGCGUGCCUUUUGUAUAAUGAGCCUACGAGUUGCUCCUGUUGUGCGAGGUUAAGCCCCUAAGGGGUGGAGCCGUAGCGAAAGCGAGUCUGAAUAGGGCGUUUUAGUUAGUAGUGGUAGACGCGAAACCGUGUGAUCUACCCAUGGGCAGGGUGAAGCUGUAGUAACAUACAGUGGAGGCCCGAACCGAUAUACGUUGAAAAGUGUUCGGAUGACCUGUGGGUAGGGGUGAAAGGCCAAUCAAACUCGGAAAUAGCUCGUACUCCCCGAAAUGCAUUUAGGUGCAGCGUUGAUUUAUAGUUUUAUAGAGGUAGAGCUACUGAUUGGAUGCGGGGGCUUCACCGCCUACCAAUUCCUGACAAACUCCGAAUGCUAUAAAAUGUUAAUCAGCAGUGAGGGCAUGGGUGCUAAGGUCCAUGUCCGAAAGGGAAACAACCCAGACCAUCAGCUAAGGUCCCCAAAUAUAUGUUAAGUUGAAUAAACGAGGUUGAACUGCUUUGACAGCUAGGAUGUUGGCUUGGAAGCAGCCAUUCAUUUAAAGAGUGCGUAACAGCUCACUAGUCGAGCGGUU
rnacentral:rRNA from 1 species